rnacentral:lncRNA from 1 species
CCGCAGUCUGACCGGUCAUGGCGCGCGUCUUCAGCACAUCCGCGGGCGUUGUGGCGGCUGCGGCGAUGGCGCCAGACAUGCCGCCGAGCGCAAUUGUCUCCCACGCGGUGAGUUCCUUUCGCUUUGCUGCCGCAGCAGCCUGCUUGAGCUUCUCAUACGUCACCAGGCCGAUGACGUAGAAGGGAAUCUCGCGGGAGAGCGUCGCAGCUGUGCCCGCAAACAGACCCUUCGUUCCAUUUUUUGUAAUAGCCUUGAAAGCUUCGACAGCGUUGUCGUGCUGCCCCGUCUGCAGCCUUUGCUUUAGCACCUCGC